GAUACUUCUAGAGAAUGGUGACCUGGAAAUGGUAAGGCUAGCUGCACGAUACUCCUAGAGAAUGGUGACCUGGAAAUGGUAAGGCUAGCUGCACGAUACUCCUAGAGAAUGGUGACCUUGAAAUGGUAAGACUAGAAACAUAAUACUCCUAGAGAAUGGUGACUUCGAAAUGGUAAGACUAGCUGCACGAUACUCCUAGAGAAUGGUGACCUCGAAAUGGUAUUCUCAACCGAUCCAGGGAAUUUUAGGAAAUUGGAUGACUUUGUCAGAACAGAGACUAAAGGAAAAGGUCAGCUGGAAGUAAUCAGUUUAAAGGAGAUGCAGGAAGGAGAUGAACUGCUUGAGUAAUCUAACUUUCACAAUGUACAAAUUGGCCUCAAAGAUUAUUUGUAAAAUAAAUAUAUUUGUUGGAAAAACUAUAAUCUAUAGUCGCUAUCACAAAUAGGAAAUUUGAUGUGUUAUUCAGAUUAUCUUGUAUUGUUCUAUUCUGAAGUGUCAUCAAAAUAUUGCUUUUUUUUUGUUUAAUGAUUGAUAAUUUUAUUUCAAUAAUUAAAAUCUAUUAAUCAGCCAAGAAAUCUGAAUUAUGGCGUAUAAGUUUAUAAACCUAUUCAAUGACCAUUAAAGUAAAUUAAAUACAGUAUUAUUUAAUUAGUCAGAUUCUUGCAAAUAUAAGUUUAUAGUGAGCUAAAAUAUUUCCAAUUAAAGAUGUAGUGAACUAACACUAAACCUACAAAAAAAAAAAA